rnacentral:rRNA from 1 species
UACGGGGGGGGCAAGCGUUGUUCGGAAUUACUGGGCGUAAAGGGCGCGUAGGCGGCCCGCUUAGUCGGACGUGAAAUCCCUCGGCUCAACCGAGGAACUGCGUCCGAUACUGGCGGGCUCGAAUCCGGGAGAGGGAUGUGGAAUUCCAGGUGUAGCGGUGAAAUGCGUAGAGAUCCCGAGGAAUACCAGUGGUGAAGACGGUGCCCUGGGCCAUACCUGACGCUGAGAUGCGAAAGCGUGGGGAGCGAACGGG